UGGUGUCAUAGACACUUGCAGUUGUCGGUUCUUGGGGAUGCUUUUCUAAGACCUGCUUGAUAUUUCAGCGCUGAAUAAUUGACUAAUUGAUUACAAUAUCGAUAAAGUAAUUGAUUGAUUAAUUGAGUGACUAAGGAAUGAUAGUUACUGGCAAUGAAAAUCACCAUCAGUAAGAGAAACAAAAACUCGAGCUAACAUAAAUUCACGCUUGACUUUAGGUGUAUGCUCGCAAACAAGCCAAGACUCAAGGAAUCAAUACAGACGAGCAGAAUGCAGAUUGGUACCCAAAACAGAAAGUGCACAGUGCAUGGAAGAAGUUGGAAGGAUUUAACCCUGCAUAUGUUAUGAGGGAAGAUCUUCUGUUGGGGCACUCGAAACAAUCUUGGUAUAAGCAAAUGGAAUCUGUGUGUCUUGGAGACAGGAAUGCCAAUGUAAGGGCUCGUGAACCUGAAAGUGGUUUGUCAGUGGAGUCUCAAGUGUUGUGUUUGAUAGAUCAAGCCACGGAUGCUAAUAUACUCGGACGAACUUGGCAAGGCUGGGAACCAUGGAUGUGACUCUGUCAUGGUCAACGCUAGGAUCAUGAAACUCUUACCUUAUUUUAUGUUCGAGUUGCAGUUUGACGAGCCAAUAAUCAUGAAGACUUUAAGACGUAAUGGUCAGAAAUUUAGUUUUUUUGUUAUCUGAAUAGUAUUAAAAUAAAGUGAUUAAGUCUA